GGGCGACAUCAAGCAAGUCCCAGUUACAGAAAGAACCCACUGCAGGGCGUCCAGUCACUUGCCCAGUGAAAAGACUGUAAUCAGACAACUUUAAUAAAGGGAGAGCAGGAGAGUGGUGACGAAUUUCCACAUUCCGAACAAGCUUGUCGAAAGAGGAGUGCAGGGAAGGAGCAAGAAUGAGGCACUGGAAGACGGCUGUAGGCGCAUGAUGUCACAAGUUAUUGGAAGAAAUCCCUCCAACCUAGGUUGGGACAGAUGAAGGCGGCGCUUAUUGGUGUUCACCAAAACACCAGCAUGGUGUACCAGCUUUGGCUAGAUGAUGCUCAGAACACCAGAGACUGGGUAAUUAAUAAAAAGAAGAAAUUGAUCUGGCCUACAGUUCUGGAGCCUUGGAAGUCCGAGAUCAAGGAGCUGCAUCUGGGUUCUAGGAUGCCUCAUAAAGGCCCGUAGUGUACUUUCUGUCUACUUCACUUAGCUCCGCAUUUGCAAUUUCUGUUAACAUGCAUACAGUUGAAUGGAUGGCCAGGAUCAAAGCUAUCUGCUGUGAGACACAAUGAGAAAUGCUUUUGUGUAAAGAUAAAUACCUGGAGUGGGAUUGCUAGAUCACAUGGUAAAUAUGUAUUUAAAUUUAUGAGAAACUGCCAAAGUAUUUUCCAAAGUAAUAGUAACAUUUUACACUCCUACCAGGACUGUCUGAGAGUUCCAGGUGCUCCACAUCCUUACUGACACUUAGUAUUGCCUGUCUCUUUAAUUUUGGUUGUUCUAGUGGGUGUGAAAUGGUAUCUUGGUUUAGUUUUAAUGUGCAUUUUCCUAAUGCCUAAUGGAAUUUUCCUUCACCUAAUGGCUAAUGAGGUUGGGGUCUUUCCAUGUGCUUAUUAGUCAUUCAUAUACCUCCUUUAGCAAAGGGUCUUUUCAAUUAUCUUGCUUAUAUUUAAUUGGUCUGCCUUCACAGUUGAGUUGUAUUAGUUCUUUAUAUAUUCAACGUACAAGUCCUUUGUUAGAUAUAUGUUUGCAAAUAUUUUUUUCCCAUUCUGUGGUUUCUCUUUCAUCUUCCUAAUGGUGUUUUUCAAUGAGCAAAAAUUAAUUUUAUAAAAGCUUAGUUUACCAAUUAUGUUUUUAAUAGUUUGUUGGUCUUAUGCUCUAUUCAAUAAAUAUUUGCCUACA
ensembl:lncRNA ZBED3-AS1 ZBED3 antisense RNA 1